GACGAACGCUGGCGGCGUGCCUAAUACAUGCAAGUAGAACGCACAGUUUAUACCGUAGCUUGCUACACCAUAGACUGUGAGUUGCGAACGGGUGAGUAACGCGUAGGUAACCUGCCUGGUAGCGGGGGAUAACUAUUGGAAACGAUAGCUAAUACCGCAUAAUAUUAAUUAUUGCAUGAUAAUUAAUUGAAAGGUGCAAUUGCACCACUACCAGAUGGACCUGCGUUGUAUUAGCUAGUAGGUGAGGUAACGGCUCACCUAGGCGACGAUACAUAGCCGACCUGAGAGGGUGAUCGGCCACACUGGGACUGAGACACGGCCCAGACUCCUACGGGAGGCAGCAGUAGGGAAUCUUCGGCAAUGGACGAAAGUCUGACCGAGCAACGCCGCGUGAGUGAAGAAGGUUUUCGGAUCGGAAAGCUCUGUUGUAAGAGAAGAACGGGUGUGAGAGUGGAAAGUUCACACUGUGACGGUAUCUGACCAGAAAGGGACGGCUAACUACGUG
rnacentral:rRNA from 1 species